rnacentral:rRNA from 1 species
CAGGCCUAACACAUGCAAGUCGAACGGAGUUAACCCUCGGGUUAGCUUAGUGGCAAACGGGUGCGUAACGCGUAAGCAACCUGCCCUCAACUGGGGGAUAGCCCGGCGAAAGCUGGGGUAACCCCGCACGGUCCAGUGGAAUCACCUGGUUUUACUGGUAAACAUUUUAUGGGUUGAGGAGGGGCUUGCGUCUGAUUAGGUAGUUGGGGGGGUAACGGCCCACCAAGCCGAUGAUCAGUAGGGGUUCUGAGAGGAUUUUCCCCCACAUGGGUACUGAGAUACGGACCCAACUCCUACGGGAGGCAGCAGUAGGGAAUAUUGGGCAAUGGGCGAGAGCCUGACCCAGCCAUGCCGCGUGCAGGAUGACGGCGCUCAGCGUUGUAAACUGCUUUUACUCACGAAGACGGCGGGCCUGCGGGCUUGUAUGACGGCAGUGAGGGAAUCAGCACCGGCUAACUCCGUGCCAGCAGCCGCGGUAAUACGGAGGGUGCAAGCGUUGUCCGGAUUUAUUGGGUUUAAAGGGUGCGUAGGUGGUUUUGUAAGUCUGGUUUGAAAGCGGGUGGCUCAACCAUCCGAUGUGGCUGGAAACUGCGGAACUUGAAUGUGUUGGCGGAAGCCGGAACGGGUCAUGUAGCGGUGAAAUGCAUAGAUAUGACCCAGAACCCCGAUUGCGAAGGCAGGCUUCCAGGACAUGAUUGACACUGAGGCACGAGAGCAUGGGGAGCCAACAGGAUUAGAUACCCUGGUAGUCCAUGCCGUAAACGAUGAUUACUGGCUGUAUGGGAGUUAUCCUGUGUGGCUGAGCGAAAGCGUUUAGUAAUUCACCUGGGGAGUACGCCGGCAACGGUGAAACUCAAAGGA